GACGGAAGGUGCAAGCGUUGCUCGGAAUCACUGGGCGUAAAGGGUGCGUAGGCGGCUUCUUAAGUCUGGUGUGAAAGCCCAGGGCUCAGCUCUGGAAGUGCACUAGAUACUGGGAAGCUUGAGUACCGGAGGGGAGAGUGGAAUUCCUGGUGUAGCGGUGAAAUGCGUAGAUAUCAGGAGGAACACCUAUUGCGAAGGCAGCUCGCUGGGACGUAACUGACGCUGAGACGCGAAAGCGUGGGGAGCAAACAGG
rnacentral:rRNA from 1 species